rnacentral:rRNA from 1 species
CAGCCGCCGCGGUAAAACCAGCACCUCAAGUGGUCAGGAUGAUUAUUGGGCCUAAAGCAUCCGUAGCCGGCUCUGUAAGUUUUCGGUUAAAUCUGUACGCUUAACGUACAGGCUGCCGGGAAUACUGCAAAGCUAGGGAGUGGGAGAAGUAGACGGUACUCGGUGGGAAGUGGUAAAAUGCUUUGAUCUAUCGAUGACCACCUGUGGCGAAGGCGGUCUACUAGAACACGUCCGACGGUGAGGGAUGAAAGCUGGGGGAGCAAACCGGAUUAGAUACCCGGGUAGUCCCAGCUGUAAACUAUGCAAACUCAGUGAUGCAUUGGCUUGUGGCCAAUGCAGUGCUGCAGGGAAGCCGUUAAGUUUGCCGCCUGGGAAGUACGUACGCAAGUAUGAAACUUAAAGGAAUUGGCGGGGGAGCAC